rnacentral:tRNA from 1 species
UCCCUAUAGCUCAAAUGGUAAAGAAUCUGCCUGCAAUGCAGGAGAGCAGGGUUCGAUUCCUGGGUAGGGAA